UUUCAGUCCAGUUUCUACACAAUCUCAUUCCUCUGCAAUAAAGGCAAACCUCUGAAAGUUACUUACGUGGCAGUGGCAAAGACAAGCCCUGGAUUUGGAAGCUGAGUUUGCUGAUGCCAGCCCGCUUAAAUAGCUGGGUUGGCUGACGCAGGCUGUUGAUAGCACGUUUAUUUACGCCUGUGAGUGCACGCUCAAGCAAGGACCUGAAAAACCUGCGGUGUGGGCAGGAGGAAGGCAGCUGAAAGUAUGCCGAAGUUACAUCUCUCCUGGUUAUUCAAGUUUGAUAUGCAGGCGGUGACUUCUGAGUUUUCAUGGAACUUUCUCAGCACCACCUUCUUGUGCCUGAUCUCUUUCUUAGCCAAGUAAGACUCUUCAACCAAGAUUAGAUGGGAGAUGCUGCUGAGAGAGGAAGGAAGCAACAAAGGACCCUGAACCCCUGCACCAAGUUCCUUAUUUUGAAUGGGCUUCCAGUUAGAUGUUGCCUCAUUUUAAACCAUAGGCUUGUUGAGGUUGAUUUCACAGCUCUGUGGGCUGGAUGCCAAGCUAAGAGCUUGGACAAUUGCCCAAUCGAUGAAAAGUUGUUUUGUUGUGUUUUGUCUCCAGGCACAGAAUGCACAAAUAAAGAAUAGUUAUAGGGGAGGUUCAGCCUGGGAUGAUACAAUUUUAGGUUCCCUUCAGAAACUAUUUUGAUUUCUUUCUUCUGCAUCUGUACUUUCCUCCUGACUUCCCCUCCCCUUCCUUUGUUAAUGAAAUUCCUAUCUAAGAGUUGAAAGAUUCCCCAUGAGAGCUCAAAUAAAAAGCCACUGUGUGAACAAGCCUGUGGGAAGAUGCACUCCAAAUGGGAGAGAGUGUGCAGUGGUUCGUGUGACCAUCAGUGGAAAUGUUUCUGAAGAGUCUUCCCUGAUGGAAGUAACACUUGGCAGCAAAGAAGAAAAAGAAGAUGGCUGUCUGGUCCAGGUAGCUUUGGUGAAUACCAACUAUGUGGAGAUGCUCAGUGGAUACAGAGAUCUUGCAAAGGAUGGAUAG
rnacentral:lncRNA from 1 species